rnacentral:rRNA from 1 species
GAUGAACGCUAGCGGCAGGCCUAACACAUGCAAGUCGAGGGGUAGAAUUAGCUUGCUAAUUUUGAGACCGGCGCACGGGUGCGUAACGCGUAUGCAAUCUGCCUUGUACUGAGGGAUAGCCCAGAGAAAUUUGGAUUAAUACCUCAUAGUAUUAUGAUGUGGCAUCACAUUAUAAUUAAAGUUCCAACGGUACAAGAUGAGCAUGCGUCCCAUUAGUUAGUUGGUAAGGUAACGGCUUACCAAGACGAUGAUGGGUAGGGGUCCUGAGAGGGAGAUCCCCCACCACUGGUACUGAGACACGGACCAGACUCCUACGGGAGGCAGCAGUGAGGAAUAUUGGUCAAUGGGCGCAAGCCUGAACCAGCCAUGCCGCGUGCAGGAUGACGGUCCUAUGGAUUGUAAAACUGCUUUUAUACGGGAAGAAACACUGCUACGUGUAGCAGCUUGACGGUACCGUAAGAAUAAGGAUCGGCUAACUCCGUGCCAGCAGCCGCGGUAAUACGGAGGAUCCAAGCGUUAUCCGG